rnacentral:rRNA from 1 species
AUGCAAGGGCAGAAAGGAUGGUUUCAGAACAACAGGUUUGGCCAGAGGGAGAGCUUGGAUCAAAACAAAGCUGGUGGGAACUUUAGAGUGUUGUGCAACAAGUGCAAGGACACCAGACAUCUGAUUAGAGAUUGCAAGUUGCCCAAUUUUAUCAUUUGUGGCAAGAACUCUCACAUCACUGAGGAAUGUGCUUGGCUGAAGCAAAUCAAGCCAACCCCCAAAUUUAUUGGAUAUGCAGCUAGAGGUUUAGGAGCGCUGUUGGUUCAAAAUUCUAAAGAAGUUGUUAGUAGUGAACAGACUAACCCUAUGGCCAUUGUGAACAUAUCUUCUGGGGAGAUUAAUGAAACUCAAUUCUUGGAGGGGUUCAACUACUUGUUUAGCUGA